AUGGUGAAACACAGGACAAGUGUGCGAUCUACGAAACAUAGAGUAUGUGUUCGUCGGAGGACCAUUGGUGGUGCUACCAAAGUUUCUGUUUUGAGAAACGUUUCACAUCCACCUGUAACUGUGGAUGUUACACCUGUCACCACCACAUCAUCUCUGGAUGAACAUUCAGAGGCAGAACCAAGCAGCAGUUGCAUGUCCGAGACUGCUUACACAAAAGCAAAGAAGAAGGAGCUCAGGGCCUGGGACUCAUUGAAGGAGGAUAUGCUGCGGGUAUCUUAUGAGUCAUCAGCACCAUCUACAAAUAUCUGUGCUCUCUGCAAAGAGCAUGCAGAGUAUAGGUGCCUUGAGUGCAGCAGUACUAAUAUGUUUUGUGAGACCUGUAUCACAAAAACCCACCGCAAUUCCUUGCACCUACCAGAGAAAUGGAAUAAAACAUUGUAUGUGACAUCUCCGCUUGAAUUAGCACUACGCUUACCAGGAGAACAUUGUUCUCAUGCUGUGUACGCAAGAGAUAUGAAAAUAUUUGUGAACACAGGCCAGUUGUGCAGCUUCAGCGUGACUCUUUGUACAUGUGAACCAGAAACUUGCACCCUGCUCAGAUAUGGUAUCUGGCCUGCGACACCAGAGAGGCCUCAAACAGCGUUCUCUAUAGCUCUUUUGGAGCUUUUUCAUUAUCUGUCCAUGGAAUGCCAGGUGUCUGUUGAGGGAUUCUGCAAUAUGUUGCGGUGGAAAAACAAUCUGUCUCUUUCAGAGGUUAACAUGCUCUACAGAGCUCUGGUGGGAGAAUCUAUAUCCCAGUUUCGCCACCACCACUUUAGAUGCAGAAGUUUAUCUGGUCUUUGUCCCUCAUUUGAUGAUGGAACAACAUGCCCAGUAUGUCCUAAGAGUAACGGCAAUCUGAUUGUAACAAUGGAUGCCUACUUUGGCCUUGUUCGAAAAAGAAGUUCAGGAAGUAGUUUGGUGGAGCCGUUGCAUGGUAACAGAAUGUUUGUGAGGGAAGAAGAUGUGCAAGAAUACCUGUCAUCCCAUCCUGAUGGUUCCAAGCCAAAUGAAGACUGUAGUAAUUUCAAGGCAGGGAACCUGCUUCGUUCUCAAAAAAACCCACAAAAACUAGAUGUAACAGGGGUGUUUGGAGUCUCUUGCCGCCAUGAGAUUCCGUUGGUGUUUUUGAACAUGACCCAGGGAGAACGGCUAGCAUAUCCAAUGUAUAUAAUCAAAGAACUCCUAACAAGGAAUCAGGGCAAGAACCUCAAUCUGUAUGUCAUUUAUGACAUUGCAUGUGUACUUUCAUCACACAUGCAUAAAAAAGCAGAAGCAAUGCAACAAGACGUAUCUCUGGCUGUUCCAGCAUUUCAUGUUUUUGGUCAUAAAUUACAGUGUCAGGUUCUGUACAGUACGAGAAGAUUAAAAGGCUUUGGGCUAACAGAUGGAGAAGGUAUGGAGAGGUUAUGGUCCUUCCUUAGAAGAUUUGCUCGUAUUACAAAAGAGAUGAGUCCAUCCCACCGGCUUGACCUCUUGACUGAAGCACUUCUUUAUUAUGGGAGGAGAAAAACAGCGGAUAUAGAAGUGCAGCUCCAUCACAGAUGGGAAAAAGCAGAGAAGGUCACUAAUCUAGCUAAAGAGGAGUUAGCUGCUGUCUUAAAAGAGGCACCAGCGAGUGUUUCAGAGCACAGUGUACAGAGAUGGAUGGAAACGGAGAACGAAGUUGCUAGAUUGACAGUUUUGAAAACCAAAAUAGCAGACAGUGUUCCCAAAUGGAAGAGGGUGUAUGUGACAACGCUGAUUGAGCUCCAGCACCUCAAAUCAUGUGAUCAUGAUUCAGCUGUUGCAGAUGAGAAAAAGAUUGAAUCUUGUCUUCAAAAAAUUGAAAGACAGUACCAUAUAACAAGAAGAUGGAAUCAGUCAGAUUCGAUAUUCCAGUCAACACUGUUAGAGCUCGACCAGGACAUUCGAGGUAAACUGGUCAUGCAGGCAUGAACGGAGGCAAGGGAAAGACUUACACUUCUUCACUUGAAGCGAAAAUACCCAGAUGGACAGGGAAUUGCUGUCAGAUUGUCUAAACAAAUUAAGGCCUGUAACAAGAGACUGAGGAAAACCAUAACAGAUUACAACAGUCUGCAAUGGCCACCACAGACAACCAUCUUCCCACCACAGAUGGAUUUUCAAGAAGCAGUGAUCCCUCCUGGCCUGUCUACUGUAGCAUUGAUGAAAAU
ensembl:lncRNA uncharacterized LOC114865522